AUUUAUAAAGAUUCACUUAAACCAUAAAUUGAAAUAUUAAUGCAGACCAUGUUUACUGAAGAAAGAAUAUUCUUCUUUAUUUUAGUGGGGCCUAUAUGGUUAUAUGUUGUUCAUUUUUGCCUGCUCUCAGUAGGCAAACUUUAUGUGGAAGGGAAGGAAAGGGAAGGCUUGUAUCACUGCAGGCUAUGCACUUGUUCAAUUUUUUACUGUAAAGCUUUUUGUUUGCUGACAGCCUAAAGACAUUGAUAAUGCAUGAAGGAUGUUCCUCCACAAAUGGUAUGACACAGAAUAGCAAUCUCUCGAGCAGGACACUUCCUGAUUUUACAGCAGCAAAAAAAAAAACAAAAAAAAUCUGUGUAUAAAUAAGAAGUUUCCCCAUCCGGCAUCAGAGCUUUCUGUGUCUGAGCUACGAUGUCUGGAAAUCUAGUCUACGCUGAUUUGGAAUUCCCGAAGUCAAGGUCAACCUCACAGCACACUAGUUCUUCUCAGUGUCCACGCUGGCAUUGGAUUGCUUUAGGACUUAGCUUGGUUAUUAACAUCAUCCUGAUGGGAACAGUCAUAGGUCUGGCUUUACAGGUAAAAGAGAACAGCGGAGAAGCCCUGGCUGCCAAACAGUCAGAGUCGACUCAGGAAGGCAGCUGCUCCUGCCCAGAGGAUUUCAAGGCCUCCAAGAUAAAUCAUUUAUGUACCUCACAGCAAUGCAGCACAAAAGGAGAUGCAGCUAUUUCAAAGUCUUCCUACAUUCUGCAGGGAAGUCAUGGCAGACUACACAGCAAUCUCCAGAGCAGAGGCACUUUGUGGAAAAAACCUCUGCACCCUGCCUAGUCACGCCACAGGCAGCAGUCCACGUGGAGGUCCAUCAGACGGCCAUUCUGCCCCUCUGCCUCAAGGUCCCAAACCAGGCAUGGGACUUCAUUGAGAUACAGUGGUUCUCUGCCAGGGGAAAUCACAGUAUCCUGCUCUAUCAAUUGAAUAACUGCACCAGAGAAGACCCCAAUUGGUGGCAGCGCCACUGCAAAGCCAGCACAGAUAUAAGAGCAGAGCAUCGCCUACGGAUGACCGUCCUGCCAAACGGCUCGCUGAGGAUCUGUAAAGUGCAGGCUGAGGAUGCUGGAACAUACCGCGUGAUAGUGAAAGGCAAAGACAUGACUGACACCACUGGGCAAGUGAACCUAACUGUGACAGGAAGGUAACACAGUCUGAUUCUUCACCUGCUCCGAGCCACCCCAAGACGACAACACAGGACAGACUGGCCACCCCAUGCUGAUCUCUGCUCCCUGGUGCAGCUCCUGGCCCAUCAGUCCAUCUGCUCCAGUUCUAUCCCCCGUAGGCACCCAAGUUAGGGGCACCUACAGUGCACUGGGGCAGUUGCACAACAUUGCAGUAAGGCUGGAAAAUCCCAGCCUGGACACCCAGACCCUUGAGCAUGACACUUUAGGCACCAUGAUCCCAGCCUUAAUGCAGUUGCUCAGGUGAUGCUCAGCCAGCAGGGGUCAUGUGAUAAACCAGAAAUGAAUGGAGAGCGCUCCCAAAGGACUAAGCCUGGUCUCAAACAGUAUAUUUUUCAUGGUGUGAAUUAAGUGUCUUUGUUUUUUGUGUGAUAA